GUAGGGGCCAUGCCUUGUACUUUCUUGUGCUCCCACAGGGCCUGAGACUGAGCCAGGUUCUCAAUUCUAGAACCAGUCUCCAGGUAUCCCUGUAGGAAGGUCCCCAUAGCUCUGGUGCCAGGAACUAAGAGAUGGAGUCCAUUGGAGGAAGACCAAAGCACACUUCUCUUGAGGAAGUGCCUGUUUUUAACUCCACAUCCUUUUGCCCUGUUCUCGUCUGCUCUGAUGGGAGCUCCUGGGUCUACCUGGGUGUCCUUAUAAGAGAAAGGGACAUUACACACAAACACACACGGCAAGGCUGUGAGAAGAUGGAGGCAAAGUGGAGUGAUGCGUCUACAAGUCAAAGAAGAAUAAGGGUUGCUGGAACCACCAGAAACUACGAGAGAGGCAUGGAUCAGAUUUUCCCUUGGAGCCUCCAGAAGGAGCUAUCUCUGCCAAUACCUGGAUUUCAGACUUCUGGCUUUCUGAAUGAAAAACAUUGCUGUCCCUUGCUACAGGAUGCUUCUCAAAUGCCAAGAAUUCUACCAUGCCCCUGGCCAGCUCCAUCAGACAAGAUGGGCAGAAGGCAGCACUGCCCCAAGGUGGCACUGCCAGGGACUUCCAUCCCCCUCCAGCUGAGGAGACAUGCCCAGAGAAGUGGAGUGAUAGGACAGCUAGCCACUAGAAGCAGCAAGAUUCAAACUCAGGGCCAAACAGCUGGGAAGAGGCAGAACCAGGUUCAAGAGCAGGCCAGCCUCGGUCGGCAACUGGGGGUCUCAGCAGGUUGCCUACCUCAUGCUCUAGGGCCCCGCCGUUUCCUGGAACCUUGCCUUGAACAGAAAUGAGAACAAGGAUGUGAAGAGAUAAUCUGAAACAACAGUAUAUGACUCAAACUCUCCUCUUCUCCUCCUCCCAUAAGAGACAGGGUUUUGCCAUGUUGCCCAGACUCAAACUCCUGGACUCAAGUGAUGUGCCUGCCUCAGCCUCCCAAAGUGCUGGGAUUACAGGCAAUGCAGAAAAGAAAAAACAUAAGGAUAAACAUAUUGAGAUUUGCUCUUGCUCCAGCACAAUUCCCUGAAAGGCUUCUUCUAAGCCUGGUAUCCUGGGAGUGGCAGUGUUUUCAGCGUGGCAGACAGAGCAGUCAGGAAGCUGGGAGCCCAAACAGCGUGAGACAAAGCCACAAAACAGAGGCCGCGCAUCAGUCGAAUAGCACUCCUAUUUACUUAUCUUUGGAGCCUCCCAGGAGGAAUAAAACAACAGAACUGGAGACCUGUUCUUGUGCUUUGGCCUUCCUGCCCAGGAUGGGAGGGUAAAGGUCUGGGUCAAGGAAAUGGAACAACAAGGCCUGGAUGAAAGCACAUCUGUUUACAGCCUAUUUCAAGCCCACUCUUGAGACCUGAUGCUCAGAAAAAAAGAUUCUUUUCAAAAUAUUACUGCUCAUUAACAAUGCACCUCAUCAUCCAAGCGCUCUAAUGGAGACUCAUAAGGGGAUUAAUGUUGUUUUCAUGCCUGCUAACACAACAUCCAUUCUGCAGCCUAUAGAUCAGAAAGUAAUUCUGACUUUAAAGUCUUAUUAUUAAAAAAAUGCAUUUUCUAAGGCUGUGGUUGCCAUAGACAGCAAUUCCUCUGAUGGAUCUGGGCAAAGUAAAUUGAAAAUUUUCUGGAAAGGAUUCAUCUUUCUUUAAAAACAUUCAUGAUUCAUGGGAGGAGAUCAAAAUAUCAAUGUUAACAGGAAUGUGGAAGAACUUGAUUCCAACCCUCAUGGAUGACUUUGAGAGUUUCAAGACUUUGGUGGAAGAAGUAACUGCAGAUGUGUUGGAAACAGUAAGAGAACAGAAUUAGAAGUGGAGCCUGAAGAUGUGACUGAAAUGUUUCAAUCUCACGAUAAAUCCUUAAGGAUGUGGAGUUGCUUCUUAUGGACAAGCAAAGAAAGUGGUUUCUUGAGACGGAAUGCACUCCUGGUGAAGACGCUGUGAACAUCGUUGAACUGACAACAGUGACUUGGAAUAUUGUAUACACUUAGUCAAUAAAGCAGUGGCAGGAUUUGAGAGCAUUGACUCCAGUUUUGAAAGAAGUUCUCUUGUGACUAAAAUGCUAUCAAACAGCAUCUCAUGCUACAGAGAGCUCUUUUGUAAAAAAAAAAAAAAAAA
rnacentral:lncRNA from 1 species